UUGCUGCAGUGGGCAGGUUCUAUGGACCAGUCUUUUUGAGAGGCACGGAAUCCUGUUAUAUUCUUACCUCGAUUGGGGAGGCGCGUAAGGUAACUUCCAAGGUACAACUUUAGAGUUCACUUCACGUCAAACCACCACUUAAGGGUGAACUCAGCCAACGCCAAGGAACGACUAUGUUUUCAAAAUAAAAACAUGAUUUAUGCGUACAUGACUUUUUAACAGCCUUGACGGACUCGGUUGGGAUAACCCUAGGCCAAGGUAUCCCUGAUAACUAAGUAUGAGAAUGAUUUUGGCACAAGCCAAACUUUUCAAAAAACAAUAAGCCUCGUUGUUUAUUUGGGUGAAAUGAACCUAUUUUAUCUUAUUAAAAUGAGUUUGAAAUGCUGUGAAUCAUUUUUAUGUUAAACUAUUUUAUCUGUCUCCAUUUACUCAGUUUUAGAUAUUUUAGAUGGUAUUUGUUUACUCACUAGGAUUAUAUAAUCUCACUACCCUCCUUUUCACCCAUUUCAAGCUCAAGAUAGUUAGUAGAUAGCUCAUUUCGUUGUGGGCUACAAUUGGACUUGCAUCCUCAAAAACUGUAGGUUUACCGUUUUUGAUACUUUUGGUCGUUCGUGAGCCCACAUGUCACUAUAAAUUAAAUCUUAUGCUUUGGUUAUCUGUAUUACAGUACAUAUGAAUUUAUUUAGCUUUUACGCUACAAAAAUUAUUAACCGGUAACUCUAUAAAUAUUGUUUUAUAAGAAAAUAGAAUAUUUUAUUGAAUAUUUUUCUUAUAUUCAAAUAGGUAUAGUUUCACUUUAAAUGAAUGUUUUAGACAUCUAAACUUAUUUUUUAUUAUGAAAUAUGUGUUUUCCACUCGCAUACUACAUUUUCAACUGGUUUUGAGAUUUUCAAGGAAAAAUGACCAAAAUGCCCCUGUGAGAAAAAAAUUAUUUUCUAUUGUUUUGAUUUGGAAAUAGUUUAUAAUCUCUCAAAACAUGAUACUUAACAACUGUUGCUCACAGGGGAGGUGCGAAAACUUAUAUUAAAGCCUUGCGAGGUUCCGAUUGGCAUUUCGGGCAAUGAAUGUCUAUCGGGACGUCGCGACGGUUGUCACGGGUUCGAAGGGAGUACCGGUGUAAUACCCUGCACCCUCAUUGGAUACAAAUAAGACCUUAUUGGUAAAACGAAUGAUCGUUUGAUGUGAAUUUGCGUGCCAAAAAGCGGCAAAAGAUGAAAGGAGCGUUCUAGAAUAAAAUGCUUCGCGCGUGCAGAAACAAUAAUUAAAUAAUAAUAUUUUCGUUGAAGAGGAAUUAGUAAGCUAAAGGAUUAUUCGAAAGUAAAUCGAGAUGUAAUGAUGUGUUUCGGGACCAAAGAAGGCAAGUG
rnacentral:lncRNA from 1 species